rnacentral:rRNA from 1 species
GCCUCAGUAACGGCGAGUGAAGCGGCAACAGCUCAAAUUUGAAAUCUGGCCCCCCGGGUCCGAGUUGUAAUUUGCAGAGGAUGCUUUUGGCGCGGUGCCUUCCGAGUUCCCUGGAACGGGACGCCAUAGAGGGUGAGAGCCCCGUACGGUUGGACACCAAGCCUAUGUAAAGCUCCUUCGACGAGUCGAGUAGUUUGGGAAUGCUGCUCAAAAUGGGAGGUAUAUUUCUUCUAAAGCUAAAUACCGGCCAGAGACCGAUAGCGCACAAGUAGAGUGAUCGAAAGAUGAAAAGCACUUUGAAAAGAGGGUUAAACAGCACGUGAAAUUGUUAAAAGGGAAGCGCUUGUGACCAGACUUGCGUCCGGUGAAUCACCCAGCUCUCGCGGCUGGGGCACUUUGCCGGCUCAGGCCAGCAUCAGCUUGCCGUCGGGGACAAAAGCUUCGGGAACGUAGCUCUCUUCGGGGAGUGUUAUAGCCCGUUGCACAAUACCCUUCGGCGGGCUGAGGUACGCGCUCCGCAAGGAUGCUGGCGUAAUGGUCAUCAGCGACCCGUCUUGAAACACGGACCAAGGAGUCAACCUUAUGUGCGAGUGUUCGGGUGUCAAACCCCUACGCGUAAUGAAAGUGAACGCAGGUGAGAGCUUCGGCGCAUCAUCGACCGAUCCUGAUGUUCUCGGAUGGAUUUGAGUAAGAGCAUAUAGGGUUGGACCCGAAAGAAGGUGAACUAUGCGUGUAUAGGGUGAAGCCAGAGGAAACUCUGGUGGAGGCUCGCAGCGGUUCUGACGUGCAAAUCGAUCGUCAAAUAUGCGCAUGGGGGCGAAAG